UGGGCUGCAGCGUUUCAAUCUGACCCCAUUAGGGAGUCACAUUAAUUAUAAGGACUCCCUACUAGAGUCAAUUUGAACCACAUAAGCACUACAUGAUU
rnacentral:miRNA from 1 species